CUGGGAGAAGUGGCCCUGGCCCUUUUGGUCUUGUUCCUUCCCUACUCAAUCUCCUAGCCCAGAGUCCUACCCCCUGGGGGAUGGAAGGGAGCUGGGAUACACCUGGAAGCAUAAGGGGUGACUCAAAUGGAGGUCUCCCUCCUACCCCCUCACUUCACCUCAAACAAACAACAACCAAAGCAACAAUUCAGUGGCCAAAGUGGCCAGAUGGAUACAUAUGGGGAUUUCUGAAAUAAGUAUCCCAACAGGAUACACAUUAACAAUUCAGAGCAUAUGCCGACAGACAUGACUAUGAUGAAGAUGAUGAUACACCCUGAAGCCCAAAGCUGGGCUGCUUGUGAAUGACAGGGCACCGUGGAAGCCACAAGUUGCCAAGUUUAGCAUGGAUGAACUUGAUACUUUUCUAAGGGAAGGCCUAACUCUCAAACUGUGGUUUGCCUCUCCUCUUAAGCCUGGUCAUCAGCAAAAGGGCAAGUCCUUACCCUGCUGAAUUUUCUGGUUCUCUGCAACCCUAGAUCCUCUAGUGGCGACAAAGCAGAAUGUCUGUAAAGUGUUUUGCAAACUUUCAAGACCUGCACAAAUGAUUAACUGAUGUUAUCAACAGUACUCCUACUCUAUUGCCUCCCAGCUCCUCUUUUCCUCUAUGUCAUAAUGUCUCCUGUUCUAUUACAUUCUUCAAAAUCAAAUUUGAGGGUUCAAGGUGUUCAGGAAGAGUCCCUUCCUUUCUGUUGUUGUUCAGUCGUGUCCUCCAAUGCUUUGUGACUUCAUUUGGGGUUUUCUUGGCAAAGAUACUGGAGUGCUUUGCCACUGCAUUCUCCAGCUCAUUUUCUAGAUGAGGAACUAAGGAAAAUAGGGUUAAGUGACUUGCCUAGGGUCACACAGCUAGAAACUUAUCUGAGGCCAGAUUUGAACUCAUGAAUAUGAAUCAUCCUGACUCCAGAC